rnacentral:rRNA from 1 species
GMAUUWCAAGGCGGACGGCUCAGUAACACGUAGUCAACCUAACUCGUGGACGUGGAUAACCUCGGGAAACUGAGAAUAAACCACGAUAGAUCAUAGUGCCUGGAAUGGCUUAUGGCCAAACAGUUUACUGCCAUGGGAUGGGACUGCGGCCUAUCAGCUUGUUGGUGAGGUAAUGGCCCACCAAGGCGAUUACAGGUACGGGCUCUGAGAGGAGAAGCCCGGAGAUGGGUACUGAGACACGGACCCAGGCCCUAUGGGGCGCAGCAGGCGAGAAACCUUAGCAAUGUGCGAAAGCACGACUGGGUCAGUCCGAGUGAUUCCUGAUAAAGGAGUCUUAUGCUUGUCCUAAAAGCACAGGUGAAUAAGGGGUGGGCAAGUCUGGUGUCAGCCGCCGCGGUAAUACCAGCACCUCGAGUGGUCAGGACGUUUAUUGGGCCUAAAGCAUCCGUAGCCGGCUUUGCAAGUCUUCGGUUAAAUCCACCUGCUCAACAGAUGGGCCGCUGGAGAUACUACAGAGCUAGGGAGUGGGAGAGGCAGACGGUAUUCAGUGGGUAGGGGUAAAAUCCUCUGWUCCAUUGAGGACCACCAGUGGCGAAGGCGGUCUGCCAGAACACGUUCGACGGUGAGGGAUGAAAGCUGGGGGAGCAAACCGGAUUAGAUACCCGGGUAGUCCCAGCUGUAAACGAUGCAAACUCGGUGAUGCAUUGGCUUAUGGCCAAUGCAGUGCCGCAGGGWAUCCUGUUAAGUUUGCCGCCUGGGAAGUACGGACGCAAGUCUGAAACUUAAAGGAAUUGGCGGGG